rnacentral:rRNA from 1 species
GAUGAACGCUAGCGGCAGGCCUGACACAUGCAAGUCGAGGGGCAGCACAGAAACAGCAAUGUUUUGGUGGCGACCGGCGGACGGGUGCGUAACGCGUAUACAACCUACCUUUAACAGGGGGAUAACGGAGAGAAAUUUCCCACUAAUACCCCAUAACAUCGAUCAAGGCAUCUUGAUUGGUUGAAAACUCCGGUGGUUAAAGAUUGUUAUUCGUUGUAUUAGGUAGUUGAUGAGGUAAUGGCUCACCAAACCUACGAUACAUAGGGGGACUGAGAGGGUAGCCCCCCACACUGGUACUGAGACACGGACCAGAAUCCUACGGGAGGCAGCAGUGAGGAAUAUUGGUCAAUGGGGGCAACCCUGAACCAGCCAUGCCGCGUGCAGGAAGACGGCUCUAUGAGUUGUAAACUGCUUUUAAACAGGGAUAAAGCACAGUAUGUAUACUGUGUUGAAGGUACUGUAAGAAUAAGGAUCGGCUAACUCCGUGCCAGCCGCCGCCGUAA